CCUGAUUAUCAAACAGCCGGAUGAGUUGCUGGACAGCAUGUCAGAUUGGUGCAAGGAGCAUCACGGGAAGUCUGGUCUUACCAAGGCCGUGAAGGAGAGUACAGUUACACUGCAGCAGGCAGAGUAUGAAUUUCUGUCCUUUGUACGACAGCAGACUCCUCCGGGGCUCUGUCCACUUGCAGGUAAAAUCCAAUCCUAUGUCUAUCUCGUAGAUAACCUUCUAUAGUAGUGGUUCAAGAAACUGAAGUUCCAGAGAGACCAGCCGAGGCCAUCCUUGCCUUCCACUCACCUGAUUCGGAAUACUCGUCCGCUUUUGUAUAUCGGUGACAAGGCUCGGAACUCGAUCUGAGAAACACAUAUGAACUCAGCCCCCCACCCCCCAUGUUUUUAUUAUGGAAAAAACAAAACAAAACAAAACAAAAAAAAUGCC
rnacentral:lncRNA from 1 species